UACGGAAGGCAGCAGUGGGGAAUAUUGCACAAUGGGCGCAAGCCUGAUGCAGCCAUGCCGCGUGUAUGAAAAAGGCCUUCGGGUUGUAAAGUACUUUCAGUCGUGAGGAAGGUGUUAAGGUUAAUAACCUUAGCAAUUGACGUUAGCGACAGAAGAAGCACCGGCUAACUCCGUGCCAGCAGCCGCGGUAAUACGGAGGGUGCGAGCGUUAAUCGGAAUUACUGGGCGUAAAGGGCACGCAGGCGGUUAAUUAAGUUGGAUGUGAAAUCCCCGGGCUUAACCUGGGAAUGGCAUUCAAGCUGGUUAGCUAGAGUCUUGUAGAGGGGGUAGAAUUCCAUGUGUAGCGGUGAAAUGCGUAGAGAUGUGGAGGAAUACCGGUGGCGAAGGCGGCCCCUGGGACAAAGACUGACGCUCAUGUGCGAAAGCGUGGGGAGCAAACAGGGAUUAGAUACC
rnacentral:rRNA from 1 species